rnacentral:Y_RNA from 1 species
GGCUGGUCUGGAGGUAGUGAGUUAUCUCAAUUGAUUGUUCAGUGAGUUAUAGAUUGAACUCCUUGUUCUACUCUUUACCCCUUCUCACUACACUUGAUUGGUCUUUA